AUGGAUUACCAAGGGAGCACUGUUAGGGAUUUCCUUCAUGCUAAUGGACAGGUGGUGCUAGAAAGGGUGGAUAACAAUCAUAAUCUAAGAUCUUUCACUCAAAAGGAGAUAGAAGACAUCACCGGUGGGUAUAGCACCAUGCUGGGAGAAGGCGGGUUUGGUAAAGUUUACAAAGGAAAAUUAGAUGAUCUUCAUCCAGUCGCAGUAAAGAGAUACAAAAAUGGAACCAAGAAAGAAGAGUUUGCCAAAGAGGUGAUAGUACAUUCCCAGAUAAAUCAUAAGAAUGUCGUCAGGCUUUUCGGUUGCUGCACGGAGGAAAAUGCUCUUACAAUUGUUAUGGAGUUUGUAUGCAAUGGAAACCUCUACAACAUCCUUCACUGCAGCAGCAGCAAUGCUAAUGGCUGUAUGCCCUUCCCUUUGGACAAACGGUUGGACAUUGCCAUUGAGUCAGCUGAAGCAUUAUCAUGCAUGCACUCAAUGUACAGUCCUGUUCUUCAUGGCGACAUCAAACCUGCUAAUAUACUGCUAGAUGAAAAUUUUCGGCCAAAGAUAUCAGAUUUUGGGAUAGCAAGAUUGCUUGCGGCUGACAAGACUCAGCAUACCAGACACGUCAUUGGUUGCAUAGGUUACAUGGACCCUUUAUUGUCGCAGAGUGGGAUUCUACUUCCCAAAAGUGAUGUAUACAGUUUUGGAGUUGUUUUGCUGGAAAUCAUCACCCGAAAGAAAGCUGUGGAGGGCAAUAACAACCUUGCUAAAAGUUUUCUGGAAGCCGUGAGAAAAGGGAAAAAGGUGAGACAAAUGUUUGAUGAGGAAAUUGUGAAUGAUAAAAAAAACAUGAAAUUUCUUGAAGAUAUCGCAAAACUAGCAGCUGAAUGCUUGAAGUUGGAGGAAAAAAUGCGUCCAGAAAUGCUUGAAGUAGCGGACAGACUUAGGACAAUUAGAAAAGCUUACCACCUGCGCAAGGGCAGACAUUCUACAGGUAGCAAUUCCAGACUUACUAAAAGUGAAAAGGCAGAGGAUGUUGUACCGGUCGUUUCCAUUGACGAACUGAGGAAAAUAACCAGGAAUUUCGGCAGUUGUGCUCGAAUAGGAGAGAACAUAUAUGGUGAAAUUUUCCUCGGUGUGCUUAAAGAUGGACAUAAUAAAUCCACGAUCAUGAAGCUUUUUCCUAGUGCUAUUUUAGAGGUUCCCUUGCCCUUGCUCUCAAGAUUCAGACAUGAGAAUGUUCUCCAGCUUCUUGGAUACUGUGUUGAAGAAAAUCAUACAUCCUCGAAACCAGAAAACCGUUUUCUUGCUUACGAGUAUACAUCCAGGGGAUCCUUGCACGAUAUUCUUCAUGGUGAGUUGUUACUUUCAGAAACUCUCAGCUUGGUCACACUUGUUCAGUUGUUAGAGCAACUCUAG
rnacentral:rRNA from 1 species